rnacentral:rRNA from 2 species
AGAGUUUGAUCCUGGCUCAGAACGAACGCUGGCGGCGUGCUUAACACAUGCAAGUCGAACGUGAUCCAGAGCUUGCUCUGGUGAAAGUGGCGCACGGGUGAGUAACGCGUGGAUAACCUGCCUGGCGAUUCGGGAUAACACUUCGAAAGGGGUGCUAAUACCGGAUAAGCCUACGGGAUCUUCGGAUUCUGCAGGAAAAGGAGGCCUCUAUUUAUAAGCUACCGUAUCAGGAUGGGUCCGCGUACCAUUAGCUAGUUGGUGGGGUAAUGGCCUACCAAGGCUACGAUGGUUAGCUGGUCUGAGGGGAUGAUCAGCCACACUGGAACUGAGACACGGUCCAGACUCCUACGGGAGGCAGCAGUGGGGAAUUUUGCGCAAUGGGCGAAAGCCUGACGCAGCAACGCCGCGUGAGUGAUGAAGGCCUUCGGGUCGUAAAGCUCUGUCAGAGGGGAAGAACCGCCGGGUGGCUAAUACCUGCCUGGUCUGACGGUACCCUCAAAGGAAGCACCGGCUAACUCCGUGCCAGCAGCCGCGGUAAUAC